GUAUUCCGCUCCAUAGCGUAUAUUAAAGUUGCUGCAGUUAAAAAGCUCGUAGUUGAAUUUCGGAACCAAUAUGUUGGUUGUGCCUCGGUACGUACUGGCAUUGUUGGUUUCUCCCUUCUGACGAACUAUGAUGUCAUUAAUUUGGUGUCAUGGGGAAUCAGGACUGUUACUUUGAAAAAAUUAGAGUGUUUAAAGCAGGCUCACGCUUGAAUACAUUAGCAUGGAAUAAUGAAAUAGGACGUUUGAUUCUAUUUUGUUGGUUUCUAGGAUUGACGUAAUGAUUAAUAGGGAUAGUUGGGGGCAUUAGUAUUCAAUUGUCAGAGGUGAAAUUCUUGGAUUUAUUGAAGACUAACUACUGCGAAAGCAUUUGCCAAGGAUGUUUUCAUUAAUCAAGAACGAAAGUUAGGGGAUCGAAGACGAUCAGAUACCGUCGUAGUCUUAACCAUAAACUAUGCCGACUAGGGAUCGGAUGAUGUUAAUUUUUUAAUGACUCAUUCGGCACCUUACGGGAAAACA
rnacentral:rRNA from 1 species